UGCUGCCGCUGGUGACUCACGGCACAGCCGCCCAACCUGCGCCAGCCUGCUGGUCCCCACCCACGGGUGCAGCACUGGGGAGGGCUGGCACUGAGCAUUAAUUAGCUGUCUGGGGGUUAAUGAGCAGUAGCACUGUCCCUGGGGAUCCCCUGGGUGGCACAGGCUGGGACAAGGUGCACGAUGAUGGCGACUCCUGCUGUCAGGUGUGACCAGGGUGGGGAUGAGCUCAGGUUUGUGCCACGUGGGAUGAUGAUCCAUGAGAGCAAGGACCAGCUGAGCCCCAGCCCUGCUGCUCACCGGGGUGUGGGGCUGCUGCCUCUUCUGGGGUGAAGCUUGUGGGGUUUCUGGAGACCAUCACUUGGCACAAGGGUUUUGAACCAUCCCUGGGUUGGGAGUUCCCUGCCAGCUUUGCCCAUUCGACCCCAUGCCAAUUACUCAGAGGAAAAUCUGCUUUUAAUGAGUUUUUUCUGGCUUCACUGCUAAUCCCUGUGAGGCCAUGAAUGCCUGUGGGGGCUAUGGGGUGGCUGUGCUGGGAUUAUGAGCGGUACCAAGGCUGGUACCUGACCCCUGCAUGGUGCUUGUGAGGGAUGGGUGUCCCCCAGCUGCAGUGGUGAUGUGUACCUGCAGGUGAAUGGUGUGUGCAUGGAGGGCAAGCAGCACAGUGACGUGGUGGCAGCCAUCAAGGCGAGUGGUGACGAGACCAAGCUGCUGGUGGUGGACAUGCUCACAGAUGAGUUCUUCAAGAAGUGCAAGGUGGUGCCCUCAGAGCAGCACCUGACAGGUCCCUUGCCAGAACCAGUAGCCAAUGGUGAUAUAGGGAAGGAGAACGGGGCC